GUGCCCACUUCAGCAACACAUAUACUAAAAUUGGGACAAUACAGAGAAGAUUAGUAUGGCCCCUGCACAAGGAUGACAUGCAAAUCCAUGCAGCAUUCCAUGUUAAA